rnacentral:snRNA from 1 species
CAAAAUGACUUACCACACUUG